rnacentral:rRNA from 1 species
UACGUAGGGUGCAAGCGUUAAUCGGAAUUACUGGGCGUAAAGCGUGCGCAGGCGGUUGUGCAAGACCGAUGUGAAAUCCCCGGGCUUAACCUGGGAAUGGCAUUGGUGACUGCACGGCUAGAGUGUGUCAGAGGGGGGUAGAAUUCCACGUGUAGCAGUGAAAUGCGUAGAGAUGUGGAGGAAUACCGAUGGCGAAGGCAGCCCCCUGGGAUAACACU